rnacentral:rRNA from 1 species
UAUGUGAUCGUCUCUCGCAUAUCAAUAAGCGGAGGAAAAGAAACUAACAAGGAUUCCCCUAGUAACGGCGAGUGAAGCGGGAAGAGCUCAAAUUUGAAAUCUUAAAGGGUUUCCCUUUACGAAUUGUAGUUUAAAGAAGUGUUUUCUGUUGAGGUUUUGGUAAAAGUUCUUUGGAAUAGGACAUCAUAGAGGGUGAGAAUCCCGUAUUUGACCUUUACUUUCAACUUUGUGAUACACUUUCAAAGAGUCGGAUUGUUUGGGAAUGCAGUCCAAAAUGGGUGGUAAAUUUCAUCUAAAGCUAAAUAUUGGCGAGAGACCGAUAGCGAACAAGUACCGUGAGGGAAAGAUGAAAAGAACUUUGAAAAGAGAGUUAAACAGUACGUGAAAUUGUCAAAAGGGAAGCGUUUGACACCAGUGUUGUUUUUCUGAAAAUCAAUUAAAGAACUGUUUAUGCUAAGCUGUUUAGACUUUAUCAGCUAACUGUUUAGUUUUGAGCUUUUCUUUAAUGCACUUUUCAGUUAACAAGUCAACAUCAAUUUCUUUUGCUGUAAAAAAGCUUGAGGAAGGUGGCUUGAGAUUCGUCUUAAGUGUUUAUAGCCUCUUGCCUAUGCAGUCGGAGAGAUUGAGGUCUGCAGCGUAGAUCCUUCGGGGCUAAAUGCAUUUGUGCUAAGUUAUAGCAUUUUAUAGACAACUUGUUGACUAUGAUUUGUCUUGUAGCUUACUCGCUUAUGUUAUUUUACCUACGCUUAGGAUGUUGAGUAGCGACAUACGCAC